GGCCUCAGAACACAAUUAUUCUUCCCCUUGGCUACAAUGCAUUUUUUAGUUAAAGUCAAAUUGAAUUAAAAAAAUUGCACCGCCACAAACAUGAAAUAAAUUUAACUGCUUAUAGACCAUUAUUAUUCUAAUAAAAUAUGCUUGUCCCAGUACAAUCCAUCAGUGCUUUUUCUUUUGAGGGCCCUAUUAGCAUGCCAAUGGUAGGAUUUGAAUCUUGAACAAAUGACGAAGGCUGAUUUCUACCCUACUUUCAUUUUGGCCAAAUCACUACUUUCACUUUCAACAAUCAUUUUUUUCCACAUGUUUUACUUAUUUAAAUAUAUAUGCAACUGAUAGGACCACUCAAAU
rnacentral:lncRNA from 1 species